UACGUAGGCAGCAAGCGUUGUUCGGAAUUACUGGGCGUAAAGAGUGUGUAGGCGGUUCUCUAAGUUCGGUGUGAAAUCUCCCGGCUUAACUGGGAGGGUGCGCCGGAAACUGGAGGGCUUGAGUAUGGGAGAGGAAGGCGGAAUUCCUGGUGUAGCGGUGAAAUGCGUAGAUAUCAGGAGGAACACCUGCGGUGUAGACAGCUUUCUGGACCAUCACUGACGCUGAGACACGAAAGCGUGGGUAGCAAAC
rnacentral:rRNA from 1 species